AUUUUAAUAAUAUAAUAAAUAUAUAAUAUUUUCAAUAUUAAAAUAAGUUUUUACUUUUAAAAUG
rnacentral:tRNA from 1 species